ACUUAAAUACUCACUAUGUGCUCUGAACUGUUCAGAAAUAACCAGACACUUUCCAUAUUCUGUUGUGUUUCAGAGAAGUGAAUAGAUGGCUGGUUGAAGCACAUGGAAGUCCAUAUACAUCCAAGAAGAGGCUUCUACAAAUUUCACAUGGAUUCUCAGAACCAAAACUACAUUGCCAGAAAAGAUCCACCUUCAUUCUGUCAUGCACAACAGUGUUUACUUGUUCCUUACAAGAAAACAAGAUUCUUUCUCAGAAUGAAGAAAUGGAUGAACAAAUCACACAGCAAGAUUGAGAGUCUAU
rnacentral:lncRNA from 1 species